UGGGGAAUUUUGGACAAUGGGGGCAACCCUGAUCCAGCCAUGCCGCGUGAGUGAAGAAGGCCUUCGGGUUGUAAAGCUCUUUCGCAAGGGAAGAAAACUUACUCAAUAACACUGGGUGAGGCUGACGGUACCUUGAUAAGAAGCACCGGCUAACUACGUGCCAGCAGCCGCGGUAAUACGUAGGGUGCGAGCGUUAAUCGGAAUUACUGGGCGUAAAGCGUGCGCAGGCGGUUUGACAAGUCUGAUGUGAAAGCCCCGGGCUCAACCUGGGAACUGCGUUGGAAACUGUCAGGCUAGAGUGUGUCAGAGGGAGGUAGAAUUCCACGUGUAGCAGUGAAAUGCGUAGAGAUGUGGAGGAAUACCGAUGGCGAAGGCAGCCUCCUGGGAUAACACUGACGCUCAUGCACGAAAGCGUGGGGAGCAAAC
rnacentral:rRNA from 1 species